GCCCACAUCUGAUGAAGGUAAAAUCCAAGCAGCGUUGAAAAGUAACCAGGAAUGCCUGACUUCAACUACUAGCAUAUAAAAACUGAAUAACCGAAAGUUAACUAAAAAUUAUUCAUAGUAAAAAAUGAAAAAAAAAGUGAGUAGAGUGGAGUGAGGGAAAUGUUUACAGGAUGAUUAGUAUGACCUUAAACACGAAGCAGUUGAAUUUGCUGUUAAUAUACACCGAUACAUUAACGCGAUAAUGCUGGCCUGUAA